GGGAGCGCCGGGCUUCGUCGCCUCGUGCUGCCGGCGGCGGGCUCUGUGGGACUCCCCGCCGCGGGAUUUUGGUUUGCCCCGUAGCAAAAAAGCAUGCAGGCGCGCUCCCCGAAGAAGAGCCCCACAGAGGGCACGGAGCACACGAACGGGAACUUCAGGGUAUCCCUCGGUCGGGAAGUUCCCCGAGCCCCCGUCCAGAGCGGGGUGAGCGCUGAGGGCUGUCCCUGGGCCGCCGCCCCUCGCCCUGCGGCUGCAGACACCAACCCGCCAGCGCACUGCCCGGUCUGACCCACAGCAGCGGUUCCUGUGUCCUCUGAUCCCAUCCUGACGUAACACGGUAACGUGAGUGAUUUCUUCAGUGCUGCCAUUCCAGUGAAUAUUGCAGUAGAAUCUCCUUCCAUUUUAGUCACCGUGCUGGAGUAAGUUCUCUGGUUGUGUCUCCUGUCAUCAAGUGGCACCCCAUCCAGAUGUCUGCAAGGAGGAGAUCUCCUUUGACCUGGACAGUUUGGCUUCAUCUUGGAUACCUUUUGACUUCAAAGAUUUAAUCGUGAUCACCAGUCAGAUCUCUAUGUCAUGGGCUUCAAAUCACUAGCAGGGAGACUGCUACAAUUUCAGCUGCAACAUUUGAUGUAUAAAUCCCUUAUCCCAUCUGUUCGCUUAAUCCAGGAUUCUGAAACACGUUCAGGGAACAGAAAAGGUUCCUGUCCUGCUGUCUGGGGGAGAGUUUUGGUAGCCUGCCCGGCCAACCCUAGCCCAGAGUACUCCCAGGUGUGGGAACAAGGCUGCCCACCAUCGCAUUGGCAUCAACAUAACUGAUAGCUCUCAACAUGCUGCAUCAGCGAAAGCACACAGACAAAUGAGGCUGGCCAUGGAGUCACACCAGCCUCAGCAGGACCUGUACAGAUCAGCUGUGAUCACCAGGGUUGCACAACCUUCCACAAGUGAGAAGUGGACUCUGGACAGCGAGAUAUGCAUUACAAGAUAAAGCUGUCCUGCUAUGCCACAGCAGUUGAAGAGUCUGAGCAUGCCUCAGUGGCCCUGCGCUCCCAGCACACAAAGCCAUCUGCAGCCACCAGUCAUUUGGAGCAGCCUCUCACAUGCUGGCUUUCCUACAGGGAGUUUCUCACAGCAGGAUCAGCCGCCCUUCCAGCACAUCACAGGUGUUCUCCACAUGGCAUGAGCAGCAUUUCUCUCCUCCGGUUCUGGGAGAGGAAAUUCUGCAAACCAAAUGUGAACUCAGGAAAGGGAGGUCCUAGCAAACUUGCUGUGCCAAAGGCAAACACAAAAGGCUCACCUCUGCAGUUGUGCCCGACUGAGCAGUGCCAGCAAAUAGAGGAGCGCGGUGCCAGACUCAUACAGAGUGGUACGGGGUCAAGGCAAGGCUUUUUGCUGGGAACAGGGUGUGUGCGGGCUGAAAAGCACUGAGGAGGAACUGAGGCCAUGGCUGAUCCUGGGGGGUGCGCAGAUCAGCUCUGCAGGCGAGGUUAGUGCCUUUGCUCCUCUGUCAUCACCAGUCCCUGAGAGCAAUCACCACCCACCAACAGUUCCUCAAGAUAAGACCGAGCCAGCUGGGAGAAGAAAUCCUUUGAUAUUUCCCUGCCUCGCUGACUGCGUUUUUCACAGCUCACAUCUCAGAGAGGACCAGCAGAGAUGACUGGGCACGUAAGAAUAACACUGGAGUGGUAUGCAAGGAAGGUGCUAAUCUUCUGCCAUGUGUGUAGGGCCUGGGCAGAAUGAGGCAGAGCGCAGUGCUGGAGUCUCCCUGAUCCUCCCAUGGAUAUCAGCAGCUGCCACACCUGGAGUCUGCAGCAAAGCUCCUUCCUCCAGAGGCCAAGAGCUGAGCCUACUGUUUCCAGCAAGGAAUCUUACGAUCUAUUUAUUCUCAAGAUUAAAUUUCCCUGUCCAGAACAUGUAUCAAAAAAGUCC
rnacentral:lncRNA from 1 species